AGUGAACGCUGGCGGUAGGCCUAACACAUGCAAGUCGAACGGCAGCACAGUAAGAGCUUGCUCUUACGGGUGGCGAGUGGCGGACGGGUGAGGAAUACAUCGGAAUCUACUUUUUCGUGGGGGAUAACGUAGGGAAACUUACGCUAAUACCGCAUACGGCCUACGGGUGAAAGCAGGGGAUCUUCGGACCUUGCGCGAUUGAAUGAGCCGAUGUCGGAUUAGCUAGUUGGCGGGGUAAAGGCCCACCAAGGCGACGAUCCGUAGCUGGUCUGAGAGGAUGAUCAGCCACACUGGAACUUAGACACGGUCCAGACUCCUACGGGAGGCAGCAGUGGGGAAUAUUGGACAAUGGGCGCAAGCCUGAUCCAGCCAUACCGCGUGGGUGAAGAAGGCCUUCGGGUUGUAAAGCCCUUUUGUUGGGAAAGAAAAGCAGCAGGUUAAUACCCCGCUGUUCUGACGGUACCCAAAGAAUAAGCACCGGCUAACUUCGUG
rnacentral:rRNA from 1 species